ACACGGAGCCCAAUGCAGGGCUCGAACUCACGAACCGUGAGAUCAUGACCUGAGCAGAAAUUAAGAGUCAGAUGUUUAACCAACUGAGCCACCCAGGCGGCGUGAGCAGCUCCCAUUUUUUAAUGAGGUGUGUGUUCCAGGUGAUCAUCUAAAAGUGAGGUGAUAAAUGUUAUGUUUAGUAGGAAUGCUUAGGGAAACCUACCUUUUUCUUUCUAUGCUGCUAAGGGCAUCUCCAAGAUACACAGAUAAAAGCACAGUUGUAUAUUACUUUUCUAAUCUCUAUACACUAGAUGCUAAUAUGUGUGUGUAUCCUUUAAACUCAUAGGUUUCAGAAAGAUAGCAGACCAGAAAGUAGCCUUCAAGCUCCUCAGUAGGAAUGCGGCCUUAUUCUACCUGUUCUCCCAAGUUCCUAGUUCCUGUCACCUAGUUUUUGACCACAGAUGAGCCCAGGGCAAUGGAAUGAAUGGUUGAACCACUGCUGAGCACAGUAGAAUUUUGACCAAGCAAUUUUCUCUUCCAUACAAAAGGAUCAUGCUGAACUUCAAUAAACUAGGGGAAGAAGACCUACUGACAAAAGCCCAUCCAAAGUAAACGGGCCUAAAAGAAAACUAUUUUUAAAAAAGCAAACAACAGGACUAAUCCUUCAGCUUUCUUAAGUUUUUCUUAAAAUGUAUACGAGACCAAAUGUGCUAACUAUGCCAAUUUCAUAUUGUAUCCCUGCAUUAUUAAUCUUCUGUUUCCAAAGGACCACAUUUUAUUUCCUUAUGAAUGUUUUUCUUCAUAUUUGACACCUAGGAGUUCAUCAUUUUCAGAGUGUUGUUUAUUUUUUUGUUUUUGUUUUCCUGUUUUAUUGUUGAAGUAUAACUCACAUACAAUAUUAUGUCAGUUUCAGGUGUACAACAUAUUUAUUUGACAGUUCUAUAAGUUACUCAACGUUCCUAAGUGUUGUAACUGUCACCAUACAUUAUUAUAAUAUUAUUGACUAUAUUCCCUAUGCUGUACUUUUAAUCCCUGUGGCUUAUUUUAUAACUGAAAAUUUGAACCAUUUUAUCCCCUUUACCUAUUUCACUGAUCCCC